GAUGAAGAACGCAGCAAAAUGCGAUAAGUAAUGUGAAUUGCAGAAUUCAGUGAAUCAUCGAAUCUUUGAACGCACAUUGCGCCCGCUGGUAUUCCGGCGGGCAAGCCUGUUCGAGCGUCAUUUCAACCCUCAAGCCCCCGGGUUUGGUGUUGGGGAUCGGCUCUGCCCUUCUGGGCGGUGCCGCCCCCGAAAUACAUUGGCGGUCUCGCUGCAGCCUCCAUUGCGUAGUAGCUAACACCUCGCAACUGGAACGCGGCGCGGCCAUGCCGUAAAACCCCAACUUCUGAAUGUUGACCUCGGAUCAGGUAGGAAUACCCGCUGAACUUAAGCAUAUCAAUAAGCGGAGGA
rnacentral:misc_RNA from 1 species